rnacentral:lncRNA from 1 species
UUCUUUGAGAAGAGAACUUUGAGGCAGGGCAGCUAAACUUGUCCCCAAUACCACAACUGAUAACCCAAGUGAAGUCAUGUCCAGAGCAGUCAAAUCUGGUCCAUGUCCAGGUCUGUCAGAUCCAGGUCUAGGUCUGCCACUGCGUCCAGAAGCAUCUCUGCAAGACCAGAGGCAGGAAUACAAGUGUAUCCCACAGAUGUGCCCUGUCUGCCUGAUCACCUGUGAGCCUACUCAUCUGCUGACAUCUGUUGAAUGUGGCCCUGAGCUCACAGACCCUCUUCUUGAGAUCUGUAACAAAGGUGGUCAAAAUUUAAAAAGAAAAAAAUCCCAAACAAUCCUCUCUCUUCUUUUUUUUUCUUUUUCUCAGAUAAGAGUUGUUCAGGACUCAAACCCAAACAGGGUUGCUCAGAAGCAGAGGGGUCAUUCCAUUUUCAGCAGUUUUUAAACCAAGAUAAUUUGUAGCUAACAACCCUAUUUUGGUUUUGUUCAAGAAAAAAAAAAAAAAUUGGGAAAAAUAGGAAGGUUUUUAACUGACCAGGCUAAAUUAUAAGGUGUAAAGUGACAAUUCUGUGCCCUACAGUACAAGGAGGGUGGUAUAUUUUGCUAAUUACCCACUUGCCUGACAAUUUUAACACACUCUGAUUGGUAUAUUGAAUCUGUGACGAUUCUAACAGGUAUCUUGUCCAAUUAAUAUGAGUCCUUACCUUUCCCCACCUCUGAAAAAUAAAACCAAACUGCUUCACCA